GUCCUUUUUUUCAGCAGCACGUAGACUAAAAUUCGAAUGAUAUAGAGAAGAUUAGCAUGGCCCCUGCACAAGGAUGACAAGCAAAUGUGUGAACAAAAACCCAAUUAA
rfam:Canis lupus familiaris chromosome 4, whole genome shotgun sequence.